UUUUAAAAAAUGGAGAGUUGUUUCAACAAUGAUGUAAUAGGUCAUAUAAGCACUGUUGAUUGGAAGUUGUUUUCUCAGCCAUCAAUAAUAUGAAUCUUAUGAUUCAAACGUUUAUUGCAAUCUUUUUCCUACAUCCUAUGUUUGAGUUAUUCGUUGGAUGAUAUGUGAUUUGUUUUCUUUAAUUGGGAGGGCCAUGUGCCAAGUGCAUUUGAAUCCAUUGGGAUAUAUUAAACAAAGGAAACGUAUGCAUAAUUUGUAUAAAAACAUAAAACUAUGCCACCUUGAGUUUUCUACAAUAUCAUGGAAGACAUAUUCUUGGUUUAAUCUUUCAGUUACACUUGACUUGCAUAUUCAAUGAGAAUAGAGCAGAAAUUCAAUACAUGGUGAAUGAAUUGGUUACAAAAGGAUCUCUUUUGUACUAUAAGAUGAUUCUUAAUGCAAUCCUUCCAUAUCCAAUAUGAAAACUCUAUGCAUACACAAAUAUUUUAAUGCAUGUCUGUCUUUAUAUGAAAUUUGUAUUUGUUCAAUUCAUUUCUUAUGGGGUUUAGUUUUUUUUAAAAAAAUAAAUCUUUGGGUUAAUUUGAUUAUUUGAUUAAAAAUAAAAAAAGGUCAAUUAAUGGUGUUUGAUUACAAUUCUAGAUUGUAGAUUAUUUGAAACUCUAAAAUACCAUCUUAGUGUUUAUGCUAAUCAUUUUGAGCAUUGAUGCGUGUAAUUAAUUUUAGUGGUUUUUGUGGAUGCAAUUUGUUAGCAAGUGAAAAGUUCAAGAUGGACAAAACAUGGAUACAUUUUUGAAGGUUUAUUAUAUGCACAACCAUAAAUAUGCUUUCAAAUGUUAAGUUACUCAUUUUGUUUGGAUGGAAUCAAUAAUAAUUUAAAGUUUUUAGAGUAUCGAAUGAGUAUGUGGAUAGAGCGAGAAAAUUUGUCAACAUGGCUAAGGCAAAUUCAAGGAAUCCUUAUAUGAUCAUAUGCCUGUGUGAAAGUUGUUGAAACCUGUCACAAAAACAUUGUGAUACUGUUUUUGAGCAUUUGGUCAUUGUAAGGUUGGAUCCUAAAUAUACGUCAUGGGUUCUUCAUGGUGAACGAUGAAGUGAAAUUGUAGAAGUUGAAGACAAUGUUGAAAUUCCAGAGACAUAUAGGCUGUUUAGAGAUGUUUAUGAAAACGAUGAUUAUUCGCAACCUACAAAUGAAAGUAGAGAGAGGGAGUUCACACAAGCAUUAGAAGAUGCUGAAACUCCUUUAUAUUUAGGUUAUACAAAGUACACUAAAUUCUCAGCAAUUGUCGUUUUAUACAAGCAUAAAGCUGUGCAUGGGACAUCUGAUAAGAGUUUUGACGAAAAUUUGAGAUUAAUGUCUGACAUGCUACCAGCAGGUAACAUACUUGUGCAAACUAAGAAGAUUAAAAAGGGGGUUCUAGCGAAGGUGUUGCAUUAUUUUCCCAUAACUCCAAUAUUUAGAAGAAUGUUCAUGUCAUAAGAAAAAGCAGAGUAAUUAACUUGGCAUUCCACUCACAAAAGUCAAGAUGGAAAGAUGCGACAUCCAAUUGAUUUGUUGGCAUGGGAUGCAAUUGAUCACAAGUGGCCCUCUUUUGCAUCGGAUCCACGAAACCUUCAACUUGUUCUUGCAACAGAUGGAUUCAAUCCCUUUGCAAAUCUUAGCUCAAUUUAAAAUUGUUGGCCAAUGAUGUUAGUGACUUAUAAUCUUCCUCCAUGGUUAUGCAUGGCAAAGGAAAAUAUAAUGUUCACAUUACUUAUACUGGGACCAAAGCAACCAGUGAAUGACAUAGAUAUGUAUUUGCAGCCACUUAUAGAAGACCUACAAGAAUUAUGGAAUAAUGGUGUGGAGGUCUAUGACGCAACCAGUAAGUCUAUGUUUAAUUUGAAGGUUAUGUUGAUGUGGAUAAUGAAUGAUUUUCUAGCUUAUGGGAACUUAGUUGGAUGUGCCACAAAAGGGAAAGUUGCAUGUCUUGUAUGUAGCAUUAACACAUGCUCGUAGUGGUUGAAUCACAGUAAGAAGACAGUGUACAUGGGCCACAGGCGAUUUCUAUCUCUGGAUCAUCCAUUUCGAAUGAAAAGAAGUUGGUUUAAUGGAAAACAAGAACUUGGGGGGAAGCCUGAACUAUUGAGUGGAUUUGAUGUGUUACAUGUAGUAAGGGACAUUGAAACUAAUUGGGGAAAAACUACAAAGGAAAGGAAAAGAAAAAAGGAUCUAGACCAAAAAGCACCCCAACCAAAAAGAGUGAUUGCGUCCAACCAUGGAAGAAGAAAUCUAUAUUUUUCAAUCUACCAUAUUGGGAUGUAAGUCCUUGGAAAGUAGGAUUUCAUAUUCUUUUGUGGAACAUUAGUUCUUGGUUAAAAUUUUUCUUCUAAUUUUUUAAAUAAUAAAUCUUUUAUUGAUGUUACAGGCAUUGCUUUUACGUCAUAACUUGCAUGUGAUGCACAUCGAGAAAAAUGUUUGUGAAAGCAUUUUAUGCACACUUUUAAAUGUCAAGGAGAAAUUGAAGGAUGGUCUUAAGGCUUGUAAAGAUUUGGCAGAAAUGGGAAUUAGCAGUGAAUUGCAUGCAGAGGAUGAAGGAUCCCAUUUUUACUUGCCACCAACAUCAAAUACACUUUCAAAAGAUGAAAAUAAGAUUUUUUGUUCUAGGCUACAAGAUUUGAAGUUGCCUGAUGGUUAUAGAUCAAAUAUUGCUAAUUGUGUUUCAUUAUAAGAAUGCAAGAUAGUUGGACUCAAGUCACAUGAUUGUCAUGUCAUGUUUCAACAAUUGUUAUCAAUUGCAUUGAGAGAACUUUUGCCAAAAGGACCAAGGAAUGCAAUAUUCCGAAUGUGCUCUUUUUUAAUCAGUUAUGUCAAAGGGUGAUUGAUGGGAAUAAGAUAGAACAACUUGAAAAUGAUGUUGCCGAGACAUUGUGUAUGUUAGAAAGAUACUUCCCUCUAUCGUUUUUUGAUGUUAUGGUACACUUAACAACUCAUAUAGGGCAAGAAGCUCGCAUAUGUGGGCCAGUGCAGUUUCGUUGGAUGUAUCCAUUUGAAGGUGGAAUUUUUUUCUAAGGAUUUAGUAAUUGAAGUUGCCAACCAACAAUGUGUGCGGAGAGUUCUAAAAGGCAGCAAAAAGACAUAAGAAAGAGCAAGAAGCUAUAGCUACUACCACAAUGGAUAAUAGAAGUUAUGGGCCCAUUAGAAUUUCAGCUAUAGGUUCCAAUACUUGACAAAUUGAAUCACCAAAUGCAGAUGGAGUAGUUGAUUUUGGUCAAGAACCAAAGAAAAAAACUAGGGGGCCGUCAAAGUUAAAGAUGCAUGACAAAGGCAAACAAAAGUGUGAUGAGAUCGACUUCAAUGAAAGGAGCCAACCGAUAGGACAAGAAUCAGUGCACUUACUAACCUUAGAAGGGAUCUUAGCUCGGGAGAUGGUGCUAAUUAAUAUCGAUUAUUGGUCUGAAUUUCUAGAUGAGAUUAAGGAUAAGUUAUGGGCUUAUGUGAAGCUUAGAUAUAAAAUACAUGAUAUCCACAAGACACAUGUGAUGCAAAAGUUGGCAAAAUUGUAGCGCAAUUACAAGUCUGAACUAUCAAGAAAAAUAAGAACUCUCGCUGCAGUAGGUAAAGGUCAUUUAGCACGUGAUAUUUCCCUCAGCAAACCUGAUAAGAUUGGAAUGGCUGAAUGGAAGGUAUUUGGGAAAAAUCAACUUUCAAAAAGCUUCAUUAUAAGUUUUUUUUUUCCAUAACAAAUAGAAGCUCAUUUAGUUUCAUAACAAUUAAGAUAAAGAUUAGAAGUUCUUUAAAAAUUUGGACAUUUCAAAUGUUUACACUGAGGAAAAGAGUGAUAAAUUCAAAGAGAUGAGAGCAAAGCAGAAGGCGUUACACAUGAUGAAUAGAAAAGCCUAUGCACAGCUAGAGGAAGACAU